rnacentral:rRNA from 1 species
CGAUUAGCAGUGGGGAAUAUUGCGCAAUGGGCGAAAGCCUGACGCAGCAACGCCGCGUGCGGGAGGAAGGCCUUCGGGUUGUAAACCGCUUUCAGGAGGGACGAAGCUACCUGGGUUAAUAGCCCGUGGGGUGACGGUACCUCCAGAAGAAGCCCCGGCUAACUACGUGCCAGCAGCCGCAGUAAUACGUAGGUGGCAAGCGUUGUCCGGAUUUACUGGGCGUAAAGAGCGCGC